rnacentral:rRNA from 1 species
GAUCAUGGCUCAGGAUGAACGCUGGCGGCGUGCCUAACACAUGCAAGUCGAACGAGCGAGAGAUGAAACCUAGUGAUUCUCGAGCGAGUGGCGGACGGGUGAGUAACGCGUGGGUAACCUGCCUUACAGAGGGGGAUAACAGCCUGAAAAGACUGCUAAUACCGCAUAAGCACACAGUACCGCAUGGUACAGGGUGAAAAGAUUUAUCACUGUAAGAUGGACCCGCGUCUGAUUAGCCAGUUGGCAGGGUAACGGCCUACCAAAGCGACGAUCAGUAGCCGACCUGAGAGGGUGAUCGGCCACAUUGGGACUGAGACACGGCCCAAACUCCUACGGGAGGCAGCAGUGGGGGAUAUUGCACAAUGGAGGAAACUCUGAUGCAGCCGACGCCGCGUGAGUGAAGAAGUAUUUCGGUAUGUAAAGCUCUAUCAGCAGGGAAGAUAAUGACAGUACCUGACCAAGAAGCCCCGGCUAACUACGUGCCAGCCGCCGC